rnacentral:lncRNA from 1 species
CAAUUGUUCUGAUGCCGUGCUAUAGGUGUGGAUGUGGACUGUGUCAGUCACUUGGGAAAGACACCUCUGUUCUGUGCCUCUCUCCUGGGCCGGGCAGGUGUUACUGAGCUGCUACUGCAAUAUGGAGCUGACCCCAACCAUGGUUCCGACCUGCACCUCAACCGAAAGAUGACCAAGCCUGUGAUACCGUUCGGAAAGGAACAUAACGUUGUCUAUAGAUAAGCCGGGGCAUGCAUUGGGUCUUCUGGCCUCCAUGCCUGUGACUGGGGACAGUGAGUUAGGGCAGGCGGACAACGAACCCCUCCUCUCCUUCACCUGUGGCUCCUUCAUUACCAUGACCAAGUAAGACCACUGGGGCCUGGAACCACAUCUUAUAUAACUCCAAUGGGAUCGCAUCAAUUACGAUGCUACAGUCUUUGAUUUUGUCCACUAAGCUGGAUGUCACAUCUGUCAGUUACAGCUGGAAGGGCUGCAUGGUCACUUUAAAGGAGCUGCAUUCCCUCUCCGCAGUCACUAAAUUCAUCACUAACAUUUUGAAGCUGAGCCAUUUGCUCGUGUUCUGCUUCUCAGUACAGUCAUAUCUGACUAAGAUCAUAACAUGGUGUCAGAAGUGCUUCAACCUUGUUAAAUAUAAGACAGGAGCGAUUAUUUCACAGAAAAUAAUAAUGUUCCUUAAAGGUUUGUCGGAGUUUAGAGUGUCGAAAAGUAGCUAACAGCUAACUACUCUCUCAUGUCUCUUCAUUAAGCAGUGCAGCCCUAGCGGAGCCGUUGCCAUGGAGACUCACAGACUCAGAUCCGCUAUGAGCAAAGUGCACGCAGAGCGAGCUGCACGAAGGGAGCGAGUGACAGACAUCAAGGAGCAGCUAAUGGAUUUACUAACGGAGGAAGUUAUUUCUGAUUUCGGGUUUUGGGCAGGGCCGGGCCUUAAAUUUGGCAAAAGCAAAUGGGCCUGGGUAGGGUAGAGUCUGAACGUCAUGGGCAUGGGUAGGGCUCAGGUUUAAAAUGCAUGCCUGCGCAGGACUUUACUACCUGG